GAUGAACGCUGGCGGCGUGCCUAAUACAUGCAAGUCGAGCGAACAGACGAGGAGCUUGCUCCUCUGACGUUAGCGGCGGACGGGUGAGUAACACGUGAAUAACCUACCUAUAAGACUGGGAUAACUUCGGGAAACCGGAGCUAAUACCGGAUAAUAUAUUGAACCGCAUGGUUCAAUAGUGAAAGACGGUUUUGCUGUCACUUAUAGAUGGAUCCGCGCCGCAUUAGCUAGUUGGUAAGGUAACGGCUUACCAAGGCAACGAUGCGUAGCCGACCUGAGAGGGUGAUCGGCCACACUGGAACUGAGACACGGUCCAGACUCCUACGGGAGGCAGCAGUAGGGAAUCUUCCGCAAUGGGCGAAAGCCUGACGGAGCAACGCCGCGUGAAUGAUGAAGGUCUUCGGAUCGUAAAACUCUGUUAUUAGGGAAGAACAAAUGUGUAAGUAACUAUGCACGUCUUGACGGUACCUAAUCAGAAAGCCACGGCUAACUACGUG
rnacentral:rRNA from 1 species